GCUUGAUUGGCGAAGGUGGAUUUGAUGGAGUAUUCAAGGGUGAUGCCAUAAAAAGAACUAAAAAAACACCGGUUGCCAGCCGUUGCGUUGAUUUUUCAGGAAAACCAUCCGGUUUUUCAUUUACCAAGAGAUCGAUUUUGCAAUUUUUACAUUUCAGACAAAGGGAUUCAGAUUAGAACAGAAUUUUGCAACAUUGCAUGGGGAAAGACAUGAGGGGAUUCAAUAAAUAAA